UACGUAGGGGGCGAGCGUUAUCCGGAAUCACUGGGCGUAAAGGGUGCGUAGGCGGCCAAAUAAGCCAGGGGUGAAAGGCUACGGCUUAACCGUAGUAAGCCUUUGGAACUGUAUGGCUUGAGUGCAGGAGAGGAGAGUGGAAUUCCUAGUGUAGCGGUGAAAUGCGUAGAUAUUAGGAGGAACACCAGUGGCGAAGGCGACUCUCUGGACUGCAACUGACGCUGAGGCACGAAAGCGUGGGGAGCGAACAGGAUUAGAUACCCUGGUAGUCCACGCCGUAAACGAUGAGUGCUAGGUGUCGGGGGUUCACACCCUCGGUGCCGGAGUUAACGCAUUAAGCACUCCGCCUGGGGAGUACGGUCGCAAGACUGAA
rnacentral:rRNA from 1 species